AGAGUUUGAUUCUGGCUCAGAACGAACGCUGGCGGCGUGGAUAAGACAUGCAAGUCGAACGGGAUUUUUUGUGUAGUAAUACAUAAAAAGUCUAGUGGCGAACGGGUGCGUAACACGUGAGCAAUCUGCCGGGAAGUGGGGGAUAGCUCGCCGAAAGGCGAAUUAAUACCGCAUGUGGCCAGAGGGGACAUCCCUUCGACGCCAAAGUCGCAAGACGCUUCCUGAUGAGCUCGCGGCCUAUCAGCUUGUUGGUGAGGUAAUGGCUCACCAAGGCUUUGACGGGUAGCUGGUCUGAGAGGACGACCAGCCACACUGGAACUGAGACACGGUCCAGACACCUACGGGUGGCAGCAGUCGAGAAUUUUUCACAAUGGGGGCAACCCUGAUGGAGCGACGCCGCGUGGAGGAUGAAGGUCUUCGGAUUGUAAACUCCUGUCAUGCGAGAACAAGAAAGUGAUAGUAUCGCAAGAGGAAGAGACGGCUAACUCUGUGCCAGCAGCCGCGGUAAUACAGAGGUCUCAAGCGUUGUUCGGAUUCAUUGGGCGUAAAGGGUGCGUAGGUGGCGUGGAAAGUUGAGUGUGAAAUCCUAGGGCUUAACCUUAGAACUGCACUCAAUACUCCCAUGCUAGAGGAAUGUAGAGGAGAGUGGAAUUCACGGUGUAGCAGUGAAAUGCGUAGAUAUCGUGAGGAAGACCAGUUGCGAAGGCGACUCUCUGGGCAUCUCCUGACACUGAGGCACGAAGGCCAGGGGAGCAAACGGGAUUAGAUACCCCGGUAGUCCUGGCAGUAAACGGUGCACAUUUGGUGUGGGCGGGUUCAGACCCCGUCCGUGCCGGAGCUAACGCGUUAAAUGUGCCGCCUGGGAAGUACGGUCGCAAGAUUAAAACUCAAAGAAAUUGACGGGGACCCGCACAAGCGGUGGAGUAUGUGGCUUAAUUCGAUGCAACGCGAAGAACCU
rnacentral:rRNA from 1 species